rnacentral:sRNA from 1 species
GAAGUGUCGUACAUAAAAUAUAAUUUUUUUAUUUUAAUUUUAAAGUAAAGCAAAUUUAUUGUAAAAUUAUUGCAAAUUUAUUGUAAAAUUUUGCAUUGAAAUAGCGUAACGCAGAACAAUGCUGGAUGUUAACAAAUAGAAUGGAUAAAUUCCAAACGCAGCAAAUUGGAGGACAUUGUAGAAGAUUAUAUUGAUUUGGACACUGAGGAUGGAAGAUAACACAUGUAGAUCUAGACCUCAUGGUAUUGCAUGCAAUAUGCUUAGAUUGACGGUGUCGCCGACAACAAAUAGAGGCUCAAAUGGAAUCGAAAUUUUUUUCUGUUUUUGGAGGCCUUAACAAGAUAUUUCAUGUUUUAUUCGCAAUUUAAUACAAUGCAAU